UGGGGCCAUUUCAUCUCUUUCAAUGGCCCGGCAUCAUCAUCGCUGUAUGCAGGCCUGACCUCAGGCAGAAGGGAGUGAGGCAGCAUGACAUAGGAUGAAGCAGAAAGGCACUGGGGUGAGUGGGCCGGCGUCUGAAUGCCCACUCUCUAGCUGUGUGAUCUUAGGGAUCAUUGUGCCUGUAUGAUCUUGACUCAUGACUGCUUCCCAGACCUUAGUCUCAGGAUGCCACACCGGAAGAGGUGGACCCCACAUUUGAAGACAGAUGUCCCUGGCGGUGCCUGCCUGCUCUGCAAAGAGCUAGUCCCAGGCUCCCAUUGUGACCUAGCACCUCAACCUCUCCUGACCCUUUUGCCUAGGCCAGAUCCUGAGAUCGGAGAGUACAUACAUCUCCCUGGGGCUUGCUUUCCUCUCCCAUAAAAUUUAGGAGUUGGGGAUGAUCUUAUCCCUCUACCUAGACUGUAGACUCCUGGGAGCGGGAGGCAAGGCACUCACAAGCAAGGGCAUCAGAGUGACAUCAAGACACAAACAGCCAUGGAAUCUUGGGAACAGAUCAAUGAGUCCACCUCUUAAAAUAUUGUAAAAAAUAAAAUCUGAGUACGAAUGUUGG
rnacentral:antisense_RNA from 1 species